UACGUAGGGGGCUAGCGUUGGCCGGAAUCAUUGGGCUUAAAGCGCGUGUAGGCGGCCCGGUAAGUCCGCUGUGAAAGUCGGGGGCUCAACCCUCGGAUGCCGGUGGAUACUGUCGGGCUCGAGUACGGAAGAGGCGAGUGGAAUUCCUGGUGUAGCGGUGAAAUGCGCAGAUAUCAGGAGGAACACCAAUUGCGAAGGCAGCUCGCUGGGACGUUACUGACGCUGAGACGCGAAAGCGUGGGGAGCAAACAGG
rnacentral:rRNA from 1 species